CACCCUAUCGUGGAGACUUGGGUUACGCCUCGAUUCCAUAUAAAUUUCCCCUCCGGCCGCGAUAUGAGGGGUAUAAAAAGGGGGCCUUGGUCGACUCGUACCACACUCAUCCACCACACCCACUUCAAUCAAACUUAUCAAUUACUACUUUGACAAAGUGAGUCGCCAUGAUUCACAUUGUGUGAUCUACGCUGACCCUUGCGCAUAGAUGGUNUAUCACAAUCCUCGGCUGAGAUCCUCUGUCAAAAGUGCUGACCUUUUUGGAGCAGGUUAACUCUUGGCAAGCUGGCUGUCAUUACAACAUGGGCGAUGUCGUCGAGUACCAAGGUUUGUGUCCGUGUGGUGUUCAAUUGUCAUUUUUCUGAAUCCGAUGCGAUCACGAUAGGUGUUCAGUACAACAUUAUCCAACCNCACAUGUCGCAGAAUGACUGGACUCCUGAUGUAACCCCUGCGCUCUGGGGGCGCGCUAUACGGCGUUGGUAAGAACCUCACGGAUCACGUCGAUUGUCAAUUAUAUUCUAAUUGUAAC
rnacentral:rRNA from 1 species